rnacentral:rRNA from 1 species
CUCAGGAUGAACGCUGGCGGCGUGCCUAAUACAUGCAAGUCGAACGCACAGCGAAAGGUGCUUGCACCUUUCAAGUGAGUGGCGAACGGGUGAGUAACACGUGGACAACCUGCCUCAAGGCUGGGGAUAACAUUUGGAAACAGAUGCUAAUACCGAAUAAAACUCAGUGUCGCAUGACACAAAGUUAAAAGGCGCUUUGGCGUCACCUAGAGAUGGAUCCGCGGUGCAUUAGUUAGUUGGUGGGGUAAAGGCCUACCAAGACAAUGAUGCAUAGCCGAGUUGAGAGACUGAUCGGCCACAUUGGGACUGAGACACGGCCCAAACUCCUACGGGAGGCUGCAGUAGGGAAUCUUCCACAAUGGGCGAAAGCCUGAUGGAGCAACGCCGCGUGUGUGAUGAAGGCUUUCGGGUCGUAAAGCACUGUUGUAUGGGAAGAACAGCUAGAAUAGGGAAUGAUUUUAGUUGACGGUACCAU